rnacentral:rRNA from 1 species
AUUGAACGCUGGCGGCAUGCCUUACGCAUGCAAGUCGAACGGCAGCACGGGAGCAAUCCUGGUGGCGAGUGGCGAACGGGUGAGUAAUAUAUCGGAACGUGCCCAGUCGUGGGGGAUAACGUAGCGAAAGCUACGCUAAUACCGCAUACGAUCUACGGAUGAAAGCGGGGGAUCGCAAGACCUCGCGCGAUUGGAGCGGCCGAUAUCAGAUUAGCUAGUUGGUGGGGUAAAAGCUCACCAAGGCGACGAUCUGUAGCUGGUCUGAGAGGACGACCAGCCACACUGGAACUGAGACACGGUCCAGACUCCUACGGGAGGCAGCAGUGGGGAAUUUUGGACAAUGGGCGCAAGCCUGAUCCAGCAAUGCCGCGUGCAGGAUGAAGGCCUCGGUUGGUUAACGUUAGUCUUUUGUUACGGUAACGGAAACGGUACGGAGGACUCGUAAUAAAGAACUUAGUCCGUUAAUAGUAACGGGUAACCGUUAAACGGUAAAGUAAAGGUAACAACCCGGACCGUAACCGUAACCGUAACCCGUAACG